rnacentral:lncRNA from 1 species
GGGAGGCCCCCCCCCCAGGUUCUUUUCCCCUCUGCUUUCUUUCUGUUCACUGUAAAACAGUAAAUUUAUUUUUUUCAUUACCACUCUGAAUGUUUUUGUACUUUGUGCGCACCUGUUCCCACGUGCGCUUUGUACCACUUUGAUUGGUGCUGAAAUGAGAUUCAGAUUUAGAGUCACAACACAGUACAUGACACUUGCUAGUGGUAGUUAAAGGGAAUGAAGAACUCUCAUUGCCGUAACAAGAUCUCCAAUGCCAACACUUCUGAAUUAGACAUGUCUGGUGCAUGUUAAAAGCGCAUGUUGAACAGUGCUAUUUCAGGGUGAUAAUGGCAUCAAAGAUUUUCUGUGCACUGUACUUACGCAUUGAGACUGUUGGCAAUUUUCUGCUGCAGCGACGGUGUUGCUCUUCAAGUUUAUGACUGAUUUCAAUUCUUCAUACUUCCGUAAAAUUGUCUCCUGCUCCUCGUUCGUGAAGUACGCGGUCCUUCACUCUCCGGCCUGCUCUGACGCUCCAGACUGGUCCAUGUUCACGAUUGGUCAGGUGCAGCGGGCCCCGCCUUAUAUGCGUGCACGCACUCAUAGCAAAGCUGGAUCCACUUAUGAGGUUGAUAACCAGCGUCGUAAAACCGUUUAGCGAGACCACUAGCUACCGCGCUAAGUUGAUCGAGGUAGCUCCAAGGCUACCUCGCUAAGUUGAACUUGCUUCGGAGAACAGGCCCCUGCUGUCCUGUUCAAGGAAUUACAAUAAUCUAGAGGAGAUGAAAUAAAGGCAUUUACAAUAAUCUCAAGCUCAUUCCUGGAAACUAUGGGUCUGAGCUUGGAUAAAGGGAUAAGCGAACCAGUUCAUUCAUGCUGCUGCUCCGGACUUUGGGCCUAGCCUCAUUUGAACACCCAGGUUUCAGAGGGUGGUGUCAGGCCUGGGUUUGAGGGAGGACUCAGACGCAGAGGUUCCAAGAUCAACAAACACUUUAUUUUGAAAAAUUGUCUUCUUUACUCAGUAGAUAGAGUGAUAAAUUAAUAGGCUAUGAAAACCUUCUCUAUCUAUUCUAAUGGCAAACAGACAGAACACAAAAACAAAUCAAACCAAGACUGAACAAAAAUUCACUCCAAAAGGGAGGACAAAUUAGUAAGCUGAUCUUCUCUAAUCUUUAGAGGAAUAACUAUGAAAAUUUUUGAACGGCGCUCCAAAAGGAGGGAAACAAAAAGAGCCUACAAAUUUUACUACACUGCACUCCUAAGCUAGAAAAAACUGUAAGAAAACAAAGUCACUCCAAAAGGGAGGAAAAAGCAACUAGGCUAUGAAACAGAAGCUAGAUCUAGAAACUAAACAGGGGAAAAAACUACAACAGAAAAUCACUCCUCUAAAGAAGAAACAAGGAUGAUCAAAAAUACAAACGUGCUUAUCAAGCCAGGCUGUGGACAUGAAGGCUGGAGGAACACGACUAAACGAGACACUCUGGCUCAGGACAAAGGGAGACGCCGACUAUAAGACACAUGAGGUUAAUGGGGAACAGGUGGAAACAAUCAGGAAUCAGGGGAGACGUCAGACUGGAAACACAAGAGGAAGGGCAAGUGACCUGAAACGAGAGGGGAGUUAUUUUUCAAAAUAAAACAAGACAGAAAAACCAGGACAAGACAGGUGGCUGCUACGCUUCGCUUGCACAGUAACUGAACUACUUCUACAUCCCUGCUGCUCUGUUUGGUUCUUCCUCUCUAGCAAUUUUUUGUCUGUUUGGUUGUUCGUCUAUGAUAACUUACAAAUUUUUACCUGUUUGUUUCAUCCUCUAGCAACUUUUUACCUUUGUAGUUGUUCAUCUAUAAGAAUUUUUUACGUGUUCGGUAAUUCAUCUUUAAAAACUUUUCGUGAAUUUACGAGAAUAAAGUCAUUAAUUUAUGAGAAUAAAGUCAUAAGGUUACCUGUUAUUUCAGAGGAGACUUGUUGAAAUUUGGGCCAUGAAGCAUUUGAAGGAACUGUGCUUCAGUAUAGGUUUCACAAACAAGGAGAUACUUCAUCCUCUGGCACAUCAGCAUCACAUUGUCAUAAAUAUAAAGACUUAAAAAAAGAAUAUUUGAGAAAUACGUCUUUUCCACGGGGAAAAAAACUGGUGUACUUGAAGGAAAUCGCUGCUUUUGUGGAGGCAGAAAUGAAUAUGCUGAGGAUAUAUCCGUUUAUGCAGCUGUAAAUAUCCAUGAAUGACAUUGAGCUUUAAUUUAUGAUAUUAAUCCAUAUGCCAUAAUAAGGUGUUGGCGUCUCUGCAGGUGUAGGUUACCACCGGUGUCAGAGACGUGGUGCUCGUCAGAGCUCGACUCCCUCUGGAUCACAAAUGUUGAUCAUCAUCAGUUUGAUUGUUUCUUCAGAAAUCACAAAAUCUCUCUGAAUGAUGUAUCUCCGCUGAUACAUCCACAGAUAACCCUGCAGAUGAUCAGUGUUAGAAUAAUGUGCAUAAAUGUAUAUAGAAGUUAUCAUUAUUCCUCAUAUUCUUAUGUAAGAGUUUACUACAAGUAUAAACUGUUUUGACCUCUUUUUAUACAUCAUAUAAGAGUGUUUCCUAACUUCUCUCUCCAAUAGCUUUACUACACAGCACAACAAUGUUUCUUUCAGUUUUCUGUGACCGUGUUUUUCCUAUCAGCAGGUGUGGGUGUGGGGGUGACGUAUCCUCCGCGGAUGAAUCGUGGGAAGGUUUUGGGGAGGAUAUUCUUAUCAGAAGGAGCUCGUUAGAUGCCGCUUUGACCUUCACAUAUUCACAAAUUGUUCAUUAUUAUGUUCUAUGAAAUGCUUACUUUGCUGCACAUAUUUCCCCCACCCUUUAGAAACAUUGUGUAACCAGGGACAACCCUAAAUAAAAGAGGCCGGACAGAAAAAAGAACCCUUAGAGUGGUAUUGAGAUAGCUAAAAAAAGAUCUCUGUCCAUUCUCCUCGAGUAUAUUCCAUUGUCUUUCUCCUUUUUUAUAUGUUUUCAGGUAUUUGGGCAGGUUUUAGACCCAACAUUUCUUUGGUCCUUCGAGACGGAUUCCAAUAGACCUGACGAUUCCAGCAGGUGAGGUGGACGACAGAUAAGACCGUGGCCACGGCAGACUCUUUAGGAUGAGUCUUAAAGACCUCUUUGAGGAACUGGACUCGAUCCGCCUGCUGGGAUCCGACGGUUGACGGAAAUCCGAAGCCAAGGGGAAAGACAAGUGGUGAGUUGGUCUUUUAUAAAAAGGAACGUGGAAUGAUUGAAAUUUGCUUUGUGUAGAGAGUUUAUAAAAGACCAAAAAAAAGGAUGCCGGAGUCCUACUACUAGUGCUGUGUCCGAAUUGCCCGCUCGCAUACUACAUGCUACUGCUACGUGCUACUGCUAGAUCCUACUCCUAUAUACUAAACACGUUGGCCCAAUUCGGACACAGCUUAGAUGUAGUUUAAAUUCCGAAGAGGACGCGCGGGUCCUACGUAGAAGAAUCCGUGGGAAAAGGACAAACGGGUCCUACAAAUCCGUGGAAAAAGGACGGUAGAGUCCUAAUUGGAAAAGUUAAAUUGAAGGACGCGCGGGUCCUACAAAGCUGUUAAAAAAGGACGCGCGGGUCCUACGUAGAAGAAUCCGUGGGAAAAAGGCCUACUAAACAUAGUAAUAAUUAUAAUAAUAAUAAUAAAUAAUAAAAAUAAAAACACGUGUUAAAAGUGUGAUUGUGAAAGUGUGAGAGUGAUUGGAAUAGAGAUAUAUCACUAGAUAUAUCCUAUUCAUACCAAAACAGUGGGAUUGUAAGUAGUGACCUUAUUGUGGAAGCAAAGGCAAGAAUUCUCCACUCGCAAGAGUAGAAGCGAGAAUUACCACAUAAGGAAUUUUUAUCACUACCCCAUUGAAAGAACUCAGCUUAAUAGGACACCCUAGGUGUCACCUAAGCUGGACCAAAACACAUAAAAAUGGGGACGGAAGCCAGUAAGGCUAAUUUAGAAGAAUUAAGAUGUCAAGAUUGGAGAAUCUUUGAGAAAGAGCCCGAAAAAUUACAAUUCCUCGAAUUAUGGGUAACUAAAUUUGGAUUUGACGGCAGCCUAAGAACAAGCCAAUUAAAUAAACUACAUGACUCCAUAACCGAAAAAUCAAAGGGUGAUAUAAAGAAAGCACAAAAAUAUGGGAGUCAAAUGGUUGAUGAAUGGAAAAAAGAAGCACAACCAAGCAGAAGAGGGUUCAGAGGUAGAGGACAAGAUAGACCAGGAGGAGCAAAUCAAAGAGGGACAGGUUGCUGGGCAUGUGGAAAGGAGGGACAUAUAGCCCGCAGUUGCAAGAACAAAUCAAAGGGAGGAAGGCGUGAGCAGUCAGGAUGAGAUCAAAAGCUAUAAGUAAAGACAACUUUAAUAUUAAUAAUUAUAAAAAUAAUACUGAUAAUAAUGCAGAAAUGAAAGGUAGAAAAGGCAGUUAAAAAGGCAGAAAGGUUUAAUGCAGACUGCAAAUUUUUAGCAAGAUAAAUUCUCUGUACAGUCUGUUCUCUGCCCAAAUGAUAAAAUGAUACAUCAAAUGCCAGUUACGACCUUGACUCCUCCAGAGACACAGCAGCCAAAGAAUCCCUCCCUAUACAGAAGCAUGUAGCUAUCAAAAGACAAAACUGUGACUAAACUGUUACAGUCUAUGAAGUGUAAGUUGUACAUGUAGACAAGUGUCAUUGGAGAAGAAGAGGUUUUCUGACCUCAGCUGGCAUCCCUGUUAAACAUUUGAACCAACUGAUUGAUAUUUUACCUUAUUGGAACUUAAAGAAGUAACCAUAGUAAAGUGCAGAGAACACCAAAGCUAACUUGGAAUUAAAGCCCUCCCUAUAAUGCUAUUUAACGUUAGAUUAACUCCAAAUGUGACAAUGAAUUUCAUACUAUAUGAGAUAAAUAGGACGACUAUGGGAUAAUAAGAGAGAUGAUAAACCAUUUGAUGACUAUGACAGAGAGAACAAGAAAGAAGCAGGUUAAGAGGCAGGAAUUUAAAUAGAGAAGGCGAUAGAGGAAGUAGAAGUUUUGGCAAAAGUUUAUGAAUCACAGGAGCUGAGAGGUGAAGAAUAGUACACUGACCAAGGUCGUGAACCACAACAUCAGA